rnacentral:rRNA from 1 species
UGUGUAUCAGUACAUGGCAUAUCAAUAAGCGGAGGAAAAGAAACUAACAAGGAUUCCCUUAGUAACGGCGAGUGAAGCGGGAAGAGCUCAAAUCUGAAAUCUUCAAGGUUCUACCUCGACGAAUUGUAGUUUAUAGAAGUGUUUUCUGUUAGUGGAGUUCGGUAAAAGUUCUUUGGAAUAGGACAUCAUAGAGGGUGAGAAUCCCGUAUUUGACCGUUACUUCCUAGCUGUGUGAUACACUUUCAAAGAGUCGGAUUGUUUGGGAAUGCAGUCCAAGAUGGGUGGUAAAUUUCAUCUAAAGCUAAAUAUUGGCGAGAGACCGAUAGCGAACAAGUACCGUGAGGGAAAGAUGAAAAGAACUUUGAAAAGAGAGUUAAACAGUACGUGAAAUUGUCAAAAGGGAAGCGUUUGACACCAGUGUUGUUUAGUUGAGAAAUCAAUGUGGCAAUAGGUUUUGAUUCUAGGUAGUGAUUGACCUUCAUCAGCUUGCUGCUUUACUUCUCUAAAUUAUUCGAAUGCACUUUUCAGUUAACAAGUCAACAUCAAUUUCUUUUGUUGUAAAAGGGUAAGAGGAAGGUGGCUUGCGCUUCGGCUCAAGUGUUUAUAGCCUUUUAUCUCUGCAAUCGGAGAGAUUGAGGUCUGCAGCGUAGAUCCUUCGGGGUUAGAUACAUUGGUGCUAAGCUAUAGCCUUGUAUAGACAACUUGUUGACUAUGCUCAGUCAUGUAGCUUACUCGCUGAUGCUAUUUUACCUACGCUUAGGAUGUUGACAGCAGUAUAGACUGU